GGUGGCUCAGGCUCAGGUCUACUUCCCCCACCCAACCUGUCCACCCCUGCUGAAUGCUCAGGGCUGUAGAGCGUCUCUGGGAGCUCCGGACUGUAAGCCGACUCUGGAAGCUCCAGACUGUAGGCAGACUCACUCGGCUCCGGACUGUAGGCAGACUCACUCGGCUCCGGACUGUAGGCAGACUCACUCGGCUCCGGACUGUAGGCAGACUCACUCGGCUCCGGACUGUAGGCAGACUCACUCGGCUCCGGACUGUAGGCAGACUCACUCGGCUCCGGACUGUAGGCAGACUCAAUCGGCUCCGGACUGCAGGCAGACUCACUCGGCGCCGGACAUUAGGCCGUCUCACUCGGUGCCGGACAUUAGGCCGUCUCACUCGGUUCCGGACAGUAGGCCGUCUCACUCGGUCCCGGACAGUAGGCCGUCUCACUCGGUCCCGGACAGUAGGCCGUCUCACUCGGUCCCGGACAGUAGGCCGUCUCACUCGGUCCCGGACAGUAGUCCGUCUCACUCAGUUCCGGACUAGACACUGUUACUCUGGACGAGGUACUGUUUCCAGACACUCUGGACGAGUUACUGUUGCCGGACACUCUGGACGAGGUACUGUUGCCGGACACUCUGGACGAGGUACUGUUGCCGGACACUCUGGACGAGGUACUGUUGCCGGACACUCUGGACGAGGUACUGUUGCCGGACACUCUGGACGAGGUACUGUUGCCGGACACUCUGGACGAGGUACUGUUGCCGGACACUCUGGACGAGGUACUGUUGCCGGACACUCUGGACGAGGUACUGUUGCUGAACACUCUGGACGAGGUACUGUUGCCGAACACGCUGGACGAGGUACUGUUGCCGAACACUCGGGACUGGUCUGACGCACUGGAAGCCUGAUGUGUGGGGCUGGUAGUGGAGGUACCAGCCUGGGGACACGCACCUCAGGGCUAGUGCGGGGAGCAGGAACCGGCCGAGUUGGACUGGGCUGACGCACUGGAAGCCUGAUGCGUGGUGCUGGUACUGGAUGUGCCAGUUUGGGGACACGCACCUCAGGGCUAGUGCGAGGAGCGGGAACAGGACAUCCUGGACUGGGCUGAUGCACUGGAAGCCUAGUGCGUGGUGCUGGUACUGGAGGUAUCAGACUGGAGACACACACUUCAAGGCUAGUGCGAGGAGCGGGAACAGGACAUACUGGACUGGGCUGAUGCACUGGAAGCCUAGUGCGUGGUGCUGGUACUGGAGGUAUCAGACUGGAGGCACGCACUUCAAGGCUAGUGCCUUCUGUCUCCUAGAGAUUAACUUACUUUGGUGCGAAAAGUGCAAAUCAAUCCCAGAACAACAACAAAGGACCUUGUGAAGAUUCUGGAGGAAACAGGUACAAAAGUAUUUAUAUCAACAGUAAAACGAGUCCUAUGUCGACAUAACCUGAAAGGCCGAUCAGCAAGGAAGAAGCCACUGCUCCAAAACAGGCAUAAAAAAGCCAGACUACGGUUUGCAACUGCACAUGGGUACAAAGAUCGUACUUUUUGGAGAAAUGUCCUCUGGUUUGAUGAAACAAAAAUAAAACUGUUUGGCCAUAAUGACCAUCGUUAUGUUAGGAGGAAAAAGGGGGAGGCUUGCAACCCGAAGACAAUGACCCCAAGCAUACUUCCAAAGUUGUGUCAAAAUGUCUUAAGGACAACAAAGUCAAGGUAUUGUAGUGGCCAUCACAAAGCCCUGACCUCAAUCCCAUAGAACAUUUAUGGGCAGAACUGAAAAAGUGUGUGAGAGCAAGGAGGCCUACAAACCUGACUCAGUUACACCAGCUGUCAGGAGGAAUGGGCCAAAAUUCACUUAUUGUGGGAAGCUUGAAGAAGGCUACCCAAAACGUUUGACCCAAGUUAAAACCUGUUAUGGCUAGACAUGCCGCUAGCGGGACACCUCGACAACAUCCGGUGAAAAUGCAUAGCACGAAAUUCA
rnacentral:lncRNA from 1 species